UCUCCGUUGGUGAACCAGCGGAGGGAUCAUUACAGGACUCGCAAGACUCCUACAACCCUGUGAACUUAACUAUAAGCACGUUGCUUCGGCGGGUAUCUCGGAGGGGGUUCUCCCUCCCCGAGACGCUAAACCCGCCGGCAGCCUACUAUACUCUGUCUCUUUGCGUUGGCAUCUCGAGUACAAUCAAACAAGUUAAAACUUUCAACAACGGAUCUCUUGGUUCUG
rnacentral:misc_RNA from 1 species